CUGGCGGCAGGCCUAACACAUGCAAGUCGAGCGCUCACUUCGGUGGGAGCGGCGGACGGGUUAGUAACGCGUGGGAAUAUGCCCGGUACUAAGGAAUAGCCUUUGGAAACGAAGAGUAAUACCUUAUACGCCCUUCGGGGGAAAGAUUUAUCGGUAUCGGAUUAGCCCGCGUAAGAUUAGAUAGUUGGUGGGGUAAUGGCCUACCAAGUCUACGAUCUUUAGCUGGUUUUAGAGGAUGAUCAGCAACACUGGGACUGAGACACGGCCCAGACUCCUACGGGAGGCAGCAGUGGGGAAUCUUAGACAAUGGGCGCAAGCCUGAUCUAGCCAUGCCGCGUGAGUGAAGAAGGCCUUAGGGUCGUAAAACUCUUUCGCCAGAGAUGAUAAUGACAGUAUCUGGUAAAGAAACCCCGGCUAACUCCGUGCCAGCAGCCGCGGUAAUACGGAGGGGGUUAGCGUUGUUCGGAAUUACUGGGCGUAAAGCGCACGUAGGCGGACUGGAGAGUUGGGGGUGAAAUCCCGGGGCUCAACCUCGGAACUGCCUCCAAAACUAUCAGUCUAGAGUUCGAGAGAGGUGAGUGGAAUUCCAAGUGUAGAGGUGAAAUUCGUAGAUAUUUGGAGGAACACCAGUGGCGAAGGCGGCUCACUGGCUCGAUACUGACGCUGAGGUGCGAAAGUGUGGGGAGCAAACAGGAUUAGAUACCCUGGUAGUCCACACCGUAAACGAUGAAUGCCAGUCGUCGGCAAGUAUACUUGUCGGUGACACACCUAACGGAUUAAGCAUUCCGCCUGGGGAGUACGGUCGCAAGAUUAAAACUCAAAGGAAUUGACGGGGGCCCGCACAAGCGGUGGAGCAUGUGGUUUAAUUCGAAGC
rnacentral:rRNA from 1 species